rnacentral:lncRNA from 1 species
AACUUCACUGUUGAAGGAAUAAUACAGCUAGUGAGAUAAAGACUUGCGCUGGCAAACAUAUCCAUUACAUUCGCUACCUAAAUGGGAAGUAAACUCAAUUAAGUAAUAGAGAAUGGAGACUUUUAACUUGAAAACAUGCAGGAUACCACUUUCUGGUUUCCCUGACUUCCGUUUUUUUUUAUACUGUGUUGUGCUUGUUCUGUAGCACUGCUUGGUGUAGGUUUUUUUUGUUGGUGAGAUGAAACUGCCAAAACUCUGAAAGAUAUCUGGCUCCAUGGUCGUUGUGCCAAAGGCGGGAAUGCAGGCGACAAGCUUAGGUCCAAAAUAAACCCAUAGAAAUGCAUUUUAGCAAAAGUGAAACCUCUUGCUUCGCCUCUUCCUUUAUGGUUUACACACAAGCCCCUUCCUGCCUUUCACGGCAACAAAAUUGAGAGAUCACAUCUUCCUCUCUGACAAGCGGUUUCAACUCGCUAUUUGAGGUUUGGUCCGACAGAAUGGGUCAUAUGGACACUGAAACACAUUGAGACAUUAUUUUACUAUAAUAGAGGAGAAGUUAACUCUCUAUCAAUACCCUUUUUAUGUCUCUACUACUCACACCAGAGCAAUACUCAUUGAGAGUAUCAAUGAACAUUGAUUCUGCUCAGUUAGUCGCAAGCAGCAUUGGGCUACAGCUAGCAGCAUUAUAGCCAAAGACUGUUAUACAAGUCUAAUCUGUGUUUUAUAAACGUACAAUAAGCAUAAAACACACUUAUGCAAGGAAUUGUUAACGCGUUCUCAUUCUGAGAAAUAAGGUAGACCACAUGAUUUCAACAUCUGAACAAAGUGGACAGGCUAACAUUCUUUUUGAACAGUUGAAGACAGACAAAAUGGUGUGUUCAUAACAAUUCAAUUGUUCAACCUUGUUAGCUAGCAAAUAGAUCCAAGUUGACUAAACAUGAAAUAUAAAGAUUAGCUGGCAAAUCACUAGCACAUGAGCCUGAUUAGGUUUGGAUUUCUGAUCUUUAACUAUUAUUAAUCAUUAGUUAUAUUAUUAAUCAUUAUUUAUAAUAGAGACAUGAGGGGUGCCAUAAGUAAGCUUGGGAGGGGCUAAUUGCAGGGAAAAUGGUCACAUGUGGCAGUACUGUUAAGGGAAGGAACCUUGUCACUUAGCUUCCUGCCUAGCAAUAACAUGCAAUGUUUAGUGAUAAGGAGGAGACUCCACCCAAAGUGGGGUAUGUAUACUACUACGGGUGAAACCAUCUUUUGGUCUGUUCAGCUGUUCGAUCCUUUGGGAAGAAUAAACUUGGUUUGAGCUUU